rnacentral:tRNA from 1 species
GAUUCAGUGGUAGAAUUCUUGCCUUCCAUGUAGGAUACCUGGGUUCGAUUCCCAG